UAAGAGGUCCCGCCUGCCCUGUGACUAUUAGUUUAACGGCCGCGGUAUAUUAACCGUGCAAAGGUAGCGCAAUCACUUGUCUUUUAAAUGGAGACCUGUAUGAAUGGCAUAACGAGGGCUUGACUGUCUCCUCUUUCAAGUCAGUGAAAUUGAUCUCCCCGUGCAGAAGCGGGGAUAAGAACAUAAGACGAGAAGACCCUAUGAAGCUUCUAGACACAAAGCAGCAUUACAUUAAAUAACCCCAAUUACAGGACCAAACUAAAUAUGACCUGCUCUAAGUCUUUGGUUGGGGCGACCUUGGGGUAACAAAUAACCCCCAUGUGGAAUGGGUUAACUUUCCUUCCUACAACUAAGAGUUACAACUCUAAUUAACAGAACUUCUGACCAUCAAUGAUCCGGCAACGCCGAUCAACGGACCGAGUUACUCUAGGGAUAACAGCGCAAUCCCCUUUAGAGCCCAUAUCGACAAGGGGGUUUACGACCUCGAUGUUGGAUCAGGACAUCCUAAUGGUGCAGCCGCUAUUAAGGGUUCGUUUGUUCAACG
rnacentral:rRNA from 1 species